AUCUGUCCAUCCAUCCAUCCAUCCAUCCAUCCAUAUAUUAAUCUGUCCAUCCAUCCAUCCUUCCAGAACUUUUAAAGUUGUUCUUCAUGAUUCUUAUUCCUUCAGUUCUGUUGCUCUCAGAUGAUGGACUCCAGCCGUCUGUCUGUCCAUCGUUGAUCCAUCAGGUUUUUCCUCUGAAAUGUUUCUUGGUUCUGGUUCAGUAAAGACAUCAGCUAUGCUAACACUAGCUGUGCUAACAGUAGCUGUGCUAACACUAGCUAUAACACUAGCUCUGCUCAGGUUGUCAUGGCAACACAUUGGAGCAAAACGCCUCAUCGUCUCAAUCUACAUCUUUAGUUCCCAUCAGAACUCUGGAUCGUUUUAAUCCAAAAAUUCUUUGAUUAUUCAGUUUUAUUUUUCACUGCAGCUUCAUGAACUUUUAUUAUUUUUAUAUUCUGGUUGUUUUCUGUUGACUCAGGAGAUUUCAGUCACAAACUUUAAUGUUUUAAAACAGAACAACUUCACACCAACAUGAACCUAAAAUUAAUUUCACUGUAUGAUACAGAAAUUUAUUUAUGUAUCUGGAGAAUAUCAUGAAUAUUUAAUCAGCAGAAACCAGCAGAUCUUCUUGGUUUUCAUUGAACCUGUUGAUCCUCAGAGAUACUAAAGACUGAAUGAUGGACGAGAUGAUCCAGAGCGAGCAGGUCACCACUGUUCACACUGUGUGUGUGUGUGCGGGUGUGUGUAGGUGUGUGUGUGUGUGUGUGUGUUAUGUAUUAGUGUGUGUGUGUUAUGUAUUAGUGUGUGUGUAGGUGUGUGUGUGCCGGAUGCUCCACACGUCUCCAUUCAGAGCGUUGGCCGC